rnacentral:rRNA from 1 species
CCCUUAGAUGUCCGGGGCCGCACGCGCGCUACACUGAAGGAAUCAGCGUGGCUUUCUCCCUGACCCGAAAGGGUUGGGAAACCCGUUGAAUCUCCUUCGUGAUAGGGAUUGGGGCUUGAAAUUGUUCCCCAUGAACGAGGAAUUCCCAGUAAGCACGAGUCAUAAGCUCGCGUUGAUUACGUCCCUGCCCUUUGUACACACCGCCCGUCGCUACUACCGAUUGAAUGGUUUAGUGAGAUCCUUGGAUCGGCCCUGUCGCGGCUGGCAACGGCCGCGUCGGCGCGUCGAGAAGACGAUCAAACUUGAUCAUUUAGAGGAAGUAAAAGUCGUAACA